UGUGUAUGUGUGUGUGUGUGUUGAACUAGUGGACAGAGACAGAAAGACAAACACAAAGUAAAGCUGCUUCUGUAACAGAAGUCACUGUUCAGCAUGAGUCUUGAUACAAAUAAGAAAGAAUAUG